CUUAAUUCCAUAAGGACCCCUAGAGCCAUCCAUUCAUACACAAAAUCAGUCACCAUUCUUCCCUGGGUACCCAACACAGGUAGUUUUGUCAAUACCUACCAAUUCGUCUGGGCCCGGGACACACACACAUUCUCCUGUCAUCACAACACGGAGCCGACAACAUCCACAACCCGCGCGGACAGCAGCAGCGACAGCAGCAGCGGCCCAUUGAAAGCAAGGCAGAGAUGCUCAUUAGAGGAGGCGGCGGCAGGGAGGCGGGAGCGGAGGAGGGGCGAGGUCUCGCAGCAGCCCAGUGAAUGGGCUGGGAGGGGAGGAGAGAAUGGAGGGGGGAGAAAGGGGAGGGGAGAAGAAGAAACCAAACAAACCCACCCUGCCGGCGAGGCGGCAUCAUAGCCCUAGGCGGGGAACUCCAGGACCCCGGACAGG
rnacentral:lncRNA from 1 species